rnacentral:rRNA from 1 species
CGUAGGGUGCAAGCGUUAAUCGGAAUUACUGGGCGUAAAGCGUGCGCAGGCGGUUAUGUAAGACAGAGGUGAAAUCCCCGGGCUCAACCUGGGAACUGCCUUUGUGACUGCAUAGCUAGAGUACGGCAGAGGGGGAUGGAAUUCCGCGUGUAGCAGUGAAAUGCGUAGAUAUGCGGAGGAACACCGAUGGCGAAGGCAAUCCCCUGGGCCUGUACUGACGCUCAUGCACGAAAGCGUGGGGAGCAAACAGGAUUGGAUACCCUGGUAGUCCACGCCCUAAACGAUGUCAACUGGUUGUUGGGUCUUCACUGACUCAGUAACGAAGCUAACGCGUGAAGUCGACCGCCUGGAGAGUACGGCCGCAAGGUUG